rnacentral:lncRNA from 1 species
AUAAUUCUCUCAAAGUCCUCUCAAUUUAUAGAGAACUUCUUCUCUUUUUAUCCCAAUUUCUCUCAUUCCUUAACUUCUCAACCUUUCUCUAUUUUCUCUCUCAUCCUUAGGAAAAAAAGGCAAAACCCAAUAACUAACAGACACGUUUGAACGUGGGUUGCCAGUUACAAAAAUAAAGUGUUCUCAACUAUUACAAAUACA